rnacentral:rRNA from 1 species
UGUAGGGAAAUGUGUGAGCCGGCUGCCGAGAAAAGCCGCUAUUGUUUGUACUGUACCCGUACCGUAAACCGACACAGGUGGAUGAGGAGAGAAUCCUAAGGCCGACGGAAGAAGCAUUGCUAAGGAACUCGGCAAAAUGACCCUGUAACUUCGGGAGAAAGGGUGCCUCGAAAGAGGCCGCAGAGAAUAGGCCCAAGCAACUGUUUAGCAAAAACACAGGUCUAUGCAAAACCGCAAGGUGAAGUAUAUGGGCUGACGCCUGCCCGGUGCUGGAAGGUUAAGGGGAGAUGUCAGGAGACGAGGCAUCGAACUUAAGCCCCAGUAAACGGCGGCCGUAACUAUAACGGUCCUAAGGUAGCGAAAUUCCUUGUCGGGUAAGUUCCGACCCGCACGAAAGGCGUAAUGAUUUGGGCGCUGUCUCGGCAAUGCAUCCGGUGAAAUUGAAGUGCCAGUGAAGAUGCUGGCUACCCGCGCCAGGACGGAAAGACCCCAUCGAGCUUUACUCCAGCUUGAUACUGGGAUUCGGUAUUGUAUGUACAGGAUAGGUGGGAGGCUGAGAAAUGGUGACGCCAGUCGCCAUGGAGCCGCUGUUGGGAUACCACCCUUGCAGUACUGGGUUUCUAACCAGCAGCCGUGAUCCGGCUGGGGGACAAUGUCAGGUGGGGAGUUUGACUGGGGCGGUCGCCUCCGAAAGGGUAUCGGAGGCGCUCAAAGGUUCCCUCAGAAUGGUCGGAAACCAUUCGAAGAGUGCAAAGGCAGAAGGGAGCUUGACUGCGACACCGACGGGUGGGGCAGGUACGAAAGUAGGACUUAGUGAUCCGGUGGUAUUAAGUGGGAAUGCCAUCGCUCAACGGAUAAAAGCUACCCUGGGAUAACAGGCUUAUCACUCCCAAGAGUUCACAUCGACGGAGUGGUUUGGCACCUCGAUGUCGGCUCAUCGCCCAUUAAAGCGGUACGCGAGCUGGGUUCAGAACGUCGUGAGACAGUUCGGUCCCUAUCCGGCGUGGGCGUAGGAUAUUUGAGAGGAGCUGACCUUAGUACGAGAGGACCGGGUUGGACUGACCUCUGGUGCACCGGUUGUCAUGCCAAUGGCACAGCCGGGUAGCCAAGUCGGGAAGGGAUAAACGCUGAAGGCAUCUAAGCGUGAAGCCCCCCUCAAGAUGAGAUAUCCCCCGCAUAAGCGGUAAGACCCCUUGAAGACGACGAGGUAGAUAGGGCAGAGGUGGAAGUGCAGUAAUGUAUGGAGCUGACUGCUACUAAUAGGUCGAAGGCUUAACCAA